CCUACGGGUGACAGCAGUGGGGAAUAUUGCACAAUGGGGGAAACCCUGAUGCAGCGACGCCGCGUGAGUGAAGAAGUAUUUCGGUACGUAAAGCUCUAUCAGCAGGGAAGAAAAUGACGGUACCUGACUAAGAAGCCCCGGCUAACUACGUGCCAGCAGCCGCGGUAAUACGUAGGGGGCAAGCGUUAUCCGGAUUUACUGGGUGUAAAGGGAGCGUAGACGGCAGCGCAAGUCUGGAGUGAAAUCCCAUGGCUUAACCAUGGAACUGCUUUGGAAACUGUGCAGCUAGAGUGCAGGAGAGGUAAGCGGAAUUCCGAGUGUAGCGGUGAAAUGCGUAGAUAUUAGGAGGAACACCAGUGGCGAAGGCGGCUUACUGGACUGUAACUGACGUUGAGGCUCGAAAGCGUGGGGAGCAAACAGGAUUAGAUACCCCUGUAGUC
rnacentral:rRNA from 1 species